rnacentral:ribozyme from 14 species
UGAUUAUUGUUUUCUUUCCUUCUUUCUUUCUUUCUUUCUUUCUUUCCUUCUUUCUUCUUCUCUCUUUGUGCCCACGUACCUCAAUAAUAACAGCGAGGGAGAGAAAGAGACUAAGAAAGAA